GCGCUGUCAACUGUGGAACAUUAUACAGACAGGCGCGUGCAUUUCCAAAUAAUGUCCAAUGAAUUGAAUUUACCACAGGUGGACUCCAAUCAAGUUGUAGAAACAUCUCAAGGAUAAUCAAUGGAAACAGGAUGCACCUGAGCUCAGUUUUGAGUCUUGUAGCACACGGUCUGAAUACUUAUUGAAACAAGGUAUUACUGUUUCUUAUAAAUUUGCAAACAUUACUAAAAAUAUGUUUUUUUCCUUUGUCAUUAUGGAGUAUUGUGUGUAGAUGAGGAUUUUUUUUAAUUUAAGACAUUUUAGAAUAAGGCUGUAACAUAACAAAAUGCGGAAAAAGUUAAGGGGUCUGAAUACUUUCCGAAUGCACUGUAUCUCAGGGUGAAAUGUGCAAUUUGUGGUUGCACCAUUUGACUGUGGAGUCAAACAAUGCUUUGUAGUUGACUAAUUCAGGCCACCAGAUCACCCUGAUGUUAAAUAAUGGAGUCACAGUGUGGAUUCGGGUGCACUCAGCGUAGCUGCUCUGCUGUGAUGCAAUCACUGGUGACCUCCGCGGAUUAGGGUAAUCAGCUCUCACAGCUUGUGUGAAAUUAUAUUGUUCCGUUUGGAAGGAUGGAUCAUUCAAUGGAAAUGAUUCUAUGGAAAUGAUCCAGCGGCACAGCCCAAAUACAUUGGGGGGAAGAGAUGUUAUUAACACAGCCAGAAGACUCCGCAUAAAAAGGCCCAACAUCUUCAGGGAUCAUGGUACAAGUUAAUCAUUCUGUUGAACAGGGGAUAUUAAUGGCGGCUUUGUGGUUCAGCAGGAGGAAACAAGAGUGGAUUGAUUUCAAGUACCUGACUUUCACUGACUCUGUCUGCUCCGGCAUGCAUGCUUAAUGGCACUACAUACAGUAGGUCUACUUGUUUUUCCCGUUUUGAGAUCAAUGUGUGUCAUGUCUUUCUGCAGGACGAUUUAGUGUGGGCACCUGAGGAGCUGAAUAUAAACUAAUUUUGAAGCAAACUACAUCAACUUCUGGCUUUCCUUCUGUCAGGGGAUCCCCUUUGCAGUUGGUUGUUGAUUAACAUUGUUGUCAGAGCCACUAUUCGGAAUAUGCUCCUGCAUGUUGAUUUGAAUGCCAUAAGGACAAAAUGGAGGAAACGGUAAUCAGUAACCACACCACAUGUUUAUUAAU
rnacentral:lncRNA from 8 species